CUCGCUCGUAGGGGUCUUCUCCAAGCACAAACCCAAUCAAUGCACUGCUCCAGUAUGCCUCUUGUUCCUUUGUAUCCUCGUCUUUAAUUUGUACCACAAAUGUACCACCACGCAUAGCAAGUGGUACAUAGCACAUCGGUUUCCCUUUUUAGGGCUUCGGUUCUGUUGCAUGGUGUCCCUUUUACCUUUUGCUGCCUUAGAAUAUCCAGAAGUGUGAC
rnacentral:lncRNA from 1 species